GCUGAACAUGGGAGCUGCUUAACAACCAGGUCCAAAAGUGGGAGCAUUCUCAAAGUAACACUUUCCUCCCUGACUUACACAGUGAUAGGACAGAAAUACAAUGGCUGUCAAAGAAGAAAACUCUACAUUACUGUCACCUAGAAAGAUAAACUCUACAGUUGGAAAUUCUGUCCAAUUUCUUCCAUGUGGCAGAUGCUGUGAUGAGCCACCGAGAUCCUCCUUCAGGAAGGAAGACUUAUUCCUCCAGAUGCUAAGAGUGCUACUGGAGGAUGGCUCUCAGCUGUGAGCCCUCAGCUGAAGACAGUUGUCUCACCUUGAUCAGGCCUCCUUCCAGAAGUAGCCUGCCUUUGAUGACAAACUGAUUGGGCUGAGGGGAACACUAUAAAGGCCAGUUCUCAGUCCCUAUUUGAUAUGACUCUCAAGAUUAAAGCUAGUGCAGUGCUCCCCAUGGGGACAGGGGAAGGCUUCUUUGGGACUGGUUUGCAGAUCACAUUCCCCAUCUGCCCAGCUCUGCUUCUCCCCCAACCCCUCCAUGGUCCAGGAGCUCUCCCAAAUAAAUGAUCUGCCGACUAACCUCAGUCCAGUUAGCUUUCUGGAAAGCCCAACCUGCAACAUUUACUUAUAAAAAAGUAAAAUUGUUGGGUUUUGGAUGAGAUCCAUUACAUCUGAUUAUUAAUUUGGCAGGAAUCAACAUUUUUACUAUAAUAUAUUGUCUUCCCACUGUAUAUUUUUCUAUCUGUUUCAUUUUUUCUUAUAAUCUCAAAAACAGUUUGAAGUAUUCUUCACAUAGGAUCUGGAGUUUCUUUUUAAGACUAUUCCCAAGUAUUUUUCAUUUGGCAUUGAUAUUAUUAGUGAGAUCUAGUACUUUUUCCUCCCUAUGGUGCAAAAUAAAUUUACAAUCCCAGACUAUCUUGUAGAAGAAAUUACAUUAUUUUGUGUGGCUUCAAAGUCCAGAAGUGGGAUGAUGGAAACAAAUUACACAAAGACACCUUUUAGUUCACUAUAUGCACAACAUUUCCAAGAACUAGGGUGGUCCACUUACUCCAUCUCUGAGGAAGACAUGAAAAAGACUACCUUCAGGGAUUGAGAGUCCCAUGACCAUGGAAGCACAUAAGAAGGAAUCAAAUAAUUAUUUCAGAGAUGUGAUAGACUAGACUCAUGUGUAUACUUGGACUAGAUAAUCUGAAUCCAAGAUUCAGCAACCAGGCUGCUUGAGGAAGCCUGACUUUACAUCAUCCACAUUUCUCCCUCUCUGUUCUACUGGACAGAGCCUUACAAACCACCCUUCCUGUUCUUCUGGCUCUGAAUCAUGUUUUUAUCUGAGGUCUUGCUAAAGCAAGAAGAAUAUGUUUAAGAGUUAUCUUAUCACAGAAACAUAUCUAAGUAGAGAAGUAGGAUUGAUUCAAGAAAUCUGUGACUACUUGAAAUGUGAAUUAAGCUUCAUCACUAGCUAUGAGGACCUGGAGUGAACUCAUAAAACAAAAACCAGAGAAAUAUAGUCUACAGAAAACAGGAACUGAAGAAUAUA
rnacentral:lncRNA from 1 species